CUACGGGUGGCAGCAGUUAGGUAUAAUCUACAAUGCGCGCAAGCGCGAUAGUUUGAGCCAGAGUGCGUUUCUAUUGAAAUGCUAUUGCCGAGUGUAAAAAGCUCGGCGAAUAAGGACUGGGUAAGACAGGUGCCAGCCGCCGCGGUAAUACCUGCGGUCCAAGUCGCAGCCAUUUUUAUUGGGUCUAAAACAUCCGUAGCUUGCUUGACAAGUUUCUUGUGAAAUAUUAUGUCUUAAACAUAAUGCGGGCAAGAAGUACUAUUAAGCUAGAGACUGGGAGACGUAAAGAGUAUGUUCAAAGUAGCGGUAAAAUGCUUUAAUCUUGGACAGACUAACAACAGCGAAGGCACUUUACGAGAACUGUUCUGACAGUAAGGGAUGAAGGCUAGGGGCGCGAAAAGGAUUAGAUACCCCCGUAGUC
rnacentral:rRNA from 1 species